rnacentral:sRNA from 1 species
AUAACAAGAAUAAAAAGCACCAAACCUAAUAAAAAUAAGACGUAACGACUCUGACAUAACAAAAACAACACGGCAGAGACGCAGCUAACAGAUUUUUUUGGAGAAGAUGUGCUUCGCAGGGUACGGCGCAAGCCGCCACUCGCAACCGGGCAGAGAACAAUAAAACUACCUCAAGGUAGCUACCCACUGGUUGGAUCGCGUGCGAAGAAGCAGAUCAGCGCUCAAAAAAAUACGUUUGCUCUUGACCCCGGAUGGGGGUCGCCAAAAACAGCGGUAAAGGGCCACGGUUGCCAAAAACAACAAUAGACCGCCCCUCAAUAAUAAAAAAAGAGCACGUAACAACAAAUUAAAGGGGAGCUUCGGCUCCCCUUUGUGCUGUCUAGGUGAAAACCAUUGCGCGGUAC